UACGAAGGUGGCAAGCGUUGUUCGGAUUUACUGGGCGUACAGGGAGCGUAGGCGGUUGGAUAAGCCCUCCGUGAAAACUCGGGGCUUAACCCCGAGCCUGCAGUGGAUACGGGCAGACUAGAGGUAGGUAGGGGAGAAUGGAAUUCCCGGUGUAGCGGUGAAAUGCGCAGAUAUCGGGAGGAACACCGGUGGCGAAGGCGGUUCUCUGGGCCUUACCUGACGCUGAGGAGCGAAAGCGUGGGGAGCAAACAGG
rnacentral:rRNA from 1 species